rnacentral:snoRNA from 1 species
AGAUCGAUGAUUAUAUUCCCUUAAGGAAAUAUACGCUAUGCUGAGAUUUCAUCCUCGAAGAGAAACUAUUAAUAUGAGAUCU